UUGGAGCCAUAGUAAAUUUAGCGACUCCCGGGACUUGACUGUUUCUGAACUGCAAGCAGAUUGACAGUCUGUGAAGAGCGGUUGACCAGAACAGUCUGCCGGACACAAUCGCGUCAACGACAGACGACAGAAUCAGCUCGUGAUCGCCAGACCUUUUUUCCAGUCUGAUUUCGAUGCUGCUCUGAAACUUAAAACCAUUUCAUUAUUUUGCUCAAAGCUGAAGCUUUAGCUGCAGUCACUUGAGAUGGCAAGCAAAGACCAUUGCCGUGUCGGAGGUUCACACAAAACUUGUGAACCUAUUGACCGUUUUCUGUGUGUUGUGAGUAGCUAAAUUUAAAAGAUAAUCUACAUCUUAUGUUUUUCUUUCAAUAAUACAAUGGUGCUCGUCGGCGCCGGAAACUACA